UAAGCGACUAAGCGUACACGGUGGAUGCCCUGGCAGUCAGAGGCGAUGAAGGACGUGCUAAUCUGCGAUAAGCGUCGGUAAGGUGAUAUGAACCGUUAUAACCGGCGAUUUCCGAAUGGGGAAACCCAGUGUGAUUCGUCACACUAUCAUUAACUGAAUCCAUAGGUUAAUGAGGCGAACCGGGGGAACUGAAACAUCUAAGUACCCCGAGGAAAAGAAAUCAACCGAGAUUCCCCCAGUAGCGGCGAGCGAACGGGGAGCAGCCCAGAGCCUGAAUCAGUGUGUGUGUUAGUGGAAGCGUCUGGAAAGGCGUGCGAUACAGGGUGACAGCCCCGUACACAAAAAUGCACAUACUGUGAGCUCGAUGAGUAGGGCGGGACACGUGGUAUCCUGUCUGAAUAUGGGGGGACCAUCCUCCAAGGCUAAAUACUCCUGACUGACCGAUAGUGAACCAGUACCGUGAGGGAAAGGCGAAAAGAACCCCGGCGAGGGGAGUGAAAAAGAACCUGAAACCGUGUACGUACAAGCAGUGGGAGCACGCUUAGGCGUGUGACUGCGUACCUUUUGUAUAAUGGGUCAGCGACUUAUAUUCUGUAGCAAGGUUAACCGAAUAGGGGAGCCGAAGGGAAACCGAGUCUUAACUGGGCGUUAAGUUGCAGGGUAUAGACCCGAAACCCGGUGAUCUAGCCAUGGGCAGGUUGAAGGUUGGGUAACACUAACUGGAGGACCGAACCGACUAAUGUUGAAAAAUUAGCGGAUGACUUGUGGCUGGGGGUGAAAGGCCAAUCAAACCGGGAGAUAGCUGGUUCUCCCCGAAAGCUAUUUAGGUAGCGCCUCGUGAAUUCAUCUCCGGGGGUAGAGCACUGUUUCGGCAAGGGGGUCAUCCCGACUUACCAACCCGAUGCAAACUGCGAAUACCGGAGAAUGUUAUCACGGGAGACACACGGCGGGUGCUAACGUCCGUCGUGAAGAGGGAAACAACCCAGACCGCCAGCUAAGGUCCCAAAGUCAUGGUUAAGUGGGAAACGAUGUGGGAAGGCCCAGACAGCCAGGAUGUUGGCUUAGAAGCAGCCAUCAUUUAAAGAAAGCGUAAUAGCUCACUGGUCGAGUCGGCCUGCGCGGAAGAUGUAACGGGGCUAAACCAUGCACCGAAGCUGCGGCAGCGACGCUUAUGCGUUGUUGGGUAGGGGAGCGUUCUGUAAGCCUGUGAAGGUGUGCUGUGAGGUAUGCUGGAGGUAUCAGAAGUGCGAAUGCUGACAUAAGUAACGAUAAAGCGGGUGAAAAGCCCGCUCGCCGGAAGACCAAGGGUUCCUGUCCAACGUUAAUCGGGGCAGGGUGAGUCGACCCCUAAGGCGAGGCCGAAAGGCGUAGUCGAUGGGAAGCAGGUUAAUAUUCCUGUACUUGGUGUUACUGCGAAGGGGGGACGGAGAAGGCUAUGUUGGCCGGGCGACGGUUGUCCCGGUUUAAGCGUGUAGGCUGGUUUUCCAGGCAAAUCCGGAAAAUCAAGGCCGAGGCGUGAUGACGAGGCACUACGGUGGCUGAAGCAACAAAUGCCCUGCUUCCAGGAAAAGCCUCUAAGCAUCAGGUAACAUCAAAUCGUACCCCAAACCGACACAGGUGGUCAGGUAGAGAAUACCAAGGCGCUUGAGAGAACUCGGGUGAAGGAACUAGGCAAAAUGGUGCCGUAACUUCGGGAGAAGGCACGCUGAUACGUAGGUGAAGCGACUUGCUCGUGGAGCUGAAAUCAGUCGAAGAUACCAGCUGGCUGCAACUGUUUAUUAAAAACACAGCACUGUGCAAACACGAAAGUGGACGUAUACGGUGUGACGCCUGCCCGGUGCCGGAAGGUUAAUUGAUGGGGUUAGCGCAAGCGAAGCUCUUGAUCGAAGCCCCGGUAAACGGCGGCCGUAACUAUAACGGUCCUAAGGUAGCGAAAUUCCUUGUCGGGUAAGUUCCGACCUGCACGAAUGGCGUAAUGAUGGCCAGGCUGUCUCCACCCGAGACUCAGUGAAAUUGAACUCGCUGUGAAGAUGCAGUGUACCCGCGGCAAGACGGAAAGACCCCGUGAACCUUUACUAUAGCUUGACACUGAACAUUGAGCCUUGAUGUGUAGGAUAGGUGGGAGGCUUUGAAGUGUGGACGCCAGUCUGCAUGGAGCCGACCUUGAAAUACCACCCUUUAAUGUUUGAUGUUCUAACGUGGACCCGUGAUCCGGGUUGCGGACAGUGUCUGGUGGGUAGUUUGACUGGGGCGGUCUCCUCCUAAAGAGUAACGGAGGAGCACGAAGGUUGGCUAAUCCUGGUCGGACAUCAGGAGGUUAGUGCAAUGGCAUAAGCCAGCUUGACUGCGAGCGUGACGGCGCGAGCAGGUGCGAAAGCAGGUCAUAGUGAUCCGGUGGUUCUGAAUGGAAGGGCCAUCGCUCAACGGAUAAAAGGUACUCCGGGGAUAACAGGCUGAUACCGCCCAAGAGUUCAUAUCGACGGCGGUGUUUGGCACCUCGAUGUCGGCUCAUCACAUCCUGGGGCUGAAGUAGGUCCCAAGGGUAUGGCUGUUCGCCAUUUAAAGUGGUACGCGAGCUGGGUUUAGAACGUCGUGAGACAGUUCGGUCCCUAUCUGCCGUGGGCGCUGGAGAACUGAGGGGGCUGCUCCUAGUACGAGAGGACCGGAGUGGACGCAUCACUGGUGUUCGGGUUGUCAUGCCAAUGGCACUGCCCGGUAGCUAAAUGCGGAAGAGAUAAGUGCUGAAAGCAUCUAAGCACGAAACUUGCCCCGAGAUGAGUUCUCCCUGACCCUUUAAGGGUCCUGAAGGAACGUUGAAGACGACGACGUUGAUAGGCCGGGUGUGUAAGCGCAGCGAUGCGUUGAGCUAACCGGUACUAAUGAACCGUGAGGCUUAACCU
rnacentral:rRNA from 1 species